GACGUAGGGCGCGAGCGUUGUCCGGAUUUAUUGGGCGUAAAGGGUGCGUAGGCGGUUCGGUAAGUUUCGUGUGAAAUCUUCGGGCUCAACUCGAAGUCUGCACGAGAUACUGCCGGGCUUGAGUGUGGGAGAGGUGAGUGGAAUUUCCGGUGUAGCGGUGAAAUGCGUAGAUAUCGGAAGGAACACCUGUGGCGAAAGCGGCUCACUGGACCAUAACUGACGCUGAGGCACGAAAGCUAGGGGAGCGAACGGG
rnacentral:rRNA from 1 species